UUGCAAGAGCAAAUAUUCUUUGAGCGCAUUUCAAUUAGCAUCUCCAUAUAAAUAUCCCCAGGAUACUUGAGAUGAUCAUUCUCAAUUGCCCAUCGUAGACUACCCUGAUUGUGUGGAGUAAAAACGUUCGCUUGUCAUAACUAGGUGCCAUUUUUCAUCGGUGUCGAGGCUAGAACGUUAGUACUGGAGCAAAGUCGUUUGUCGUUAUUAUUAUUGCAGUCGACGUACUGUUACAAGUGAUUCACCGAGCUUCGAAGUGUUAAUUAGUUGCAGAUACGAGGCUUGAGAAAACAAUCUUGAUGGCUGACCGCAAGCAAUCGACGUACAAAAAGACGUCUGAGCAAAAUAUGUCCAACUUGGUCAAAGCUUUUCGAAAGUUAAGUCCUACAAAACGUCAAUUCUUCGAGCUGUCUAAAUCGGAUUCAACAUCGUCAGUGUCAUCUGGAAGUAGCUUAGUUUCCAACUCUUCCGCAUCGAUUACCCCGCUG